rnacentral:rRNA from 1 species
UGGGGGAUAUUGCGCAAUGGGCGAAAGCCUGACGCAGCGACGCCGCGUGGGUGAUGAAGGCCUUCGGGUCGUAAAGCCCUGUCGAGGGGGAAGAAUCGGUUGCGACCUAACACGUCGUGAUCCUGACGGUACCCCUAAAGGAAGCACCGGCUAAAUCCGUGCCAGCAGCCGCGGUAAUACGGAGGGUGCGAGCGUUGUUCGGAAUCACUGGGCGUAAAGCGCGUGUAGGCGGCCCACUAAGUCUGAUGUGAAAGCCCGGGGCUCACCCCCGGAAGUGCAUUGGAAACUGGUGGACUCGAGUCCCGGAGAGGAGAGUGGAAUUCCUGGUGUAGCGGUGAAAUGCGUAGAUAUCAGGAGGAACACCGGUGGCGAAGGCGGCUCUCUGGACGGUGACUGACGCUGAGACGCGAAAGCGUGGGGAGCAAAC